UUCCUUGUCGGGUAAGUUCCGACCUGCAUGAAAGGCGUAAUGACUGAUACACUGUCUCAACUAGUAACCCGGUGAAAUUGUAGUCGUGGUGAAGAUGCCACGUACCCGCAGUAAGACGGAAAGACCCCGUGAACCUUUACUGUAUGCUGAUAUUGGGCUGUGGUCUCAUUUGUGUAGGAUAGGUGGGAGGCGAUGAAGUUGAUGCGCUAGCAUUGAUGGAGCCAACGUUGAAAUACCACCCUGAUGAUACUUUAGUUCUAACACUGAUUCCCGUGAAUCCGGGCGGUGGACAUUGUCAGUUGGGCAGUUUGACUGGGGCGGUCUCCUCCGAAAGAGUAACGGAGGAGUUCAAUGGUACCCUCAGCCUGUUUGGCAAUCAGGCGUUGAGCGUAAUGGUAGAAGGGUGCUUGACUGCGAGACUUAUAAGUCGAGCAGAUACGAAAGUAGGACAUAGUGAUCCGGUAGUCCCGAAUGGAAGGGCUAUCGCUCACCAGAUAAAAGGUACUCCGGGGAUAACAGGCUUAUCGCUCCCGAGCGUCCAUAGCGGCGGAGCGGUUUGGCACCUCGAUGUCGGCUCAUCACAUCCUGGGGGUGGAGGCGCUCCCAAGGGUUUGGCUGUUCGCCAAUUAAAGUGGUACGUGAGCUGGGUUCAGACCGUCGUGAGACAGGUCGGUCCCUAUCUGCUGUGGGCGCACGAAACUUGAGGAGGUUCAAUCUUAGUACGAAAGGACUUAAUUGGACGUAGCUCUGGUGUUCCAGUUGUCUCGCUAGAGGCACGGCUGGGUAGCUAUCUACGGAAUGGAUAAACGCUGAAAGCAUAUAAGCGUGAAGUCGGCUCCAAGAUUAGGUUUCGUUGCAGCAAUGUGAGAGUCCCCUGGUAGACUACCAGGUCGAUAGGUCGAAUGUGUAAGCCCCGUAAGGGGUUCAGCUAAGCGAUACUAAAGGACGAAUGCUUGAUCAC
rnacentral:rRNA from 1 species